AUGCUAUUCCUGUGUUGUAAAGCAUUGUGCUACCUCUUUUGCUAAUGCUGGUGUAUUAAUGGCCAGUGUGCCACAGUCAACCCAUGGCGACUGUAAUAGAUCACCUUUGUCAGUCUAGAGCCAGUUAGAGAUAAAGAUCCACCCACGGGCUGAAAGGCACACACCACGGCAACAGGUCUCUCCCAGGCCACCGUUGCAAUGUCCCCUAAGGCCAGAGCAGAUGCUUCCCUGACCCCUGACCCUGAUCACUUUUGAGACUGUGGGGCGGGCCUUUUCUCCUCCUCUCCCUCUUUUUUAUUCCUCCUGCUGAGUCGGAUCAACCAUCUGCCACCGCCAAGAUGGUCUAUGGGGAUCUGGUGCUGGACAGCGGUGAAGCUACAGCGCGUGGUGAGGGCCUUGGGGGUGGGGUGUUGGUGGGGGGGACACGCUUUAUGGGGAAAGCUCGGCAGCUGUGGGACUCUGAUGCGGAACAAAAGAAUCAGAGUCCAGCACGAGCCAUAAAAUACUCUCCUCGUGCAUUGUUUGUGGCAGACGGGACAGCAGCAGCUCUUCCACCCCCCGCUAGCAACACUCUCCCACAGAGGACACAAAAGGUGGCCCGCAUCCCCCCACCCCCCGCGCGCGGCGUCCCCCACCAGGUCAAUUUACGCACACGCUCUCCCAGACGCCAAUUCAAACGUAGGACUAAUGACUUGAAAAAACAUCUAAACAAGAUUUCAAAGUUUAGCCCCAAAAUCGUGGAAGCACAAGCGGAGCUGUAGCCUACAUUUAAACUCUUUGCAACUUUUGAACGGGCCUACGUACAUUUUGUGGCUGAAAUGUAAUAUUCUUUACAUUAAGUUAUACAAAAUUACAACAAAAGCAAAUAAAAGCCCUUUAUAACAACGUUUAGUCUGGUUUUGGGGUGGAUCGGAUCAGCCUCGCGCGCUCCACUCAGCCGCACUUGUUCUCCGUCGCAAAAAACACACCUCAGCUCUUUUUCUUCUUUUUUUUUUAACUUGAGCGAAAAUCUUUCACUACUAAUUGAUGAAUGAAAUCAUCUCUUAGGGAAAAAAAACACUACUUGCCACAAAAAAAAGACCAACAGAGCGCGGUAAAUGAAAGAUCAUCUUGCCCUCAUCAAAGUGUGUGUAAACUUUAGCUAUUAUCCUUUGAAAGUAAAGGCAACUCGUCGAUCUCCUUUAGUGAGAGCGUUGCCCAAACCCAAUCCCACACACACACACACAACUCACCUUUUGAUAAGACGAUGGCUGAAAGCAGAAAUGUUAGUUUCACAAAGAAACGAUACAUUCCUCCUCUUCAACUUCACAAAUGUCGUUGAAACCCGCGUAGGGCUGGCAUAGAUCCACAGUGUCGUAGACUCCAGGUGGUGGUUGAAAUCAAGACUCCGAGAGGCAAAGUUAAAGAGAGAAAUCCAAAGCAGCGCGAAGUCUGCGGGAGAUUCACUUCAUAGAUGUUAACGUGGUCCCUUACUCGUCCUCAAUGAAAAGUGGAAGCGGUGCACAAGUGCCUCCCACUCCCGCCCCCAUGUGCUCCUCUCCCCAACUUCAGUCUGUACUAGCUGGUACUAGCCCACUACUAGUCUUCAUUGCCACAAUUAUUGAAUGAGGCCUGACUAUUAUUUUGCAUCAGAUUACAAACCUGGUUUCAAAAAACACUAUGCCUGAUUUUUCUUUCUAGUAGUGGAACAACAUUAUGU
ensembl:lncRNA